CAGGUCUCAAGUGGCCUGUAUCUUUUAAUCACAGCACCGUCUUCAUGACUACCUGUCUAGAAAGUUUACGGAAUGUUGUAACAGUGCUACAACUUGAUGGACUUCAUUUACUAGCUGCCUCGAAGGGUAUUGCCCUCAUUGGAUGUCUGCAACAGGCGCAGGAGAUGCUGGGGACAAGAAAGUUUUAGGUGUGUGACAAGGUUCCUUGAAUUUUGUGGGUGGAACUCCAAGAUGCGAGACCAGCCUUGCACCAGUACUAAGAGACAGCCCCCCAAAGGCAGGCUGGGAAAGCAAGUCCCUUAGCAGUUCAUUGAGUGAGUUUUUGGAGAUUAUUGACUGGCUUACCUUGGAUGGCUUUUUAGGCAACACCUUUUUGCAAAAAAAAGUGAGGAAGCAACAGUUACGGCACUACAGCCAUGUGGUGCGAUUCCUUGAGGGAGAUCCAACUUGUGGGAUCCUCAUUGCAGAGGACCCGAGCGGCUGGACCAGGCCAAUGGGACACCCACG